rnacentral:rRNA from 1 species
GACGAACGCUGGCGGCGUGCUUAAUACAUGCAAGUCGAGCGAGGUUACUGUUUUGGAUCCCUUCGGGGUGAAGAAGCUUUAACCUAGCGGCGGACGGGUGAGUAACGCGUGGGUAACCUACCCCAAAGUCCGGGAUAACAGCGGGAAACCGCUGCUAAUACCGGAUGUCUUUACCUUGGGGCAUCUUGAGGUAAAGAAAGGUAACGCUUUGGGAUGGGCCCGCGUCCCAUUAGCUAGUUGGUGAGGUAACGGCUCACCAAGGCGACGAUGGGUAGCCGGCCUGAGAGGGUGGACGGCCACACUGGGACUGAGACACGGCCCAGACUCCUACGGGAGGCAGCAGUAGGGAAUAUUGCGCAAUGGACGGAAGUCUGACGCAGCGACGCCGCGUGAGCGAUGAAGGUCUUCGGAUCGUAAAAGCUCUGUCCUUGGGGAAGAAGGCGAAAGCUUGACGGUACCCAAGAAGAAAGCCCGGCUAACUACGUG